rnacentral:rRNA from 1 species
UACGUAGGCAGCAAGCGUUGUUCGGAAUCACUGGGCGUAAAGGGCGCGUAGGCGGGAAUGUAAGUCGGGCGUGAAAUCCCCAGGCUCAACCUGGGAACUGCACUCGAAACUGCGUUUCUUGAGUAUCGGAGAGGAAAGCGGAAUUCCUGGUGUAGAGGUGAAAUUCGUAGAUAUCAGGAGGAACACCAGUGGCGAAGGCGGCUUUCUGGACGGUAACUGACGCUGAGGCGCGAAAGCAUGGGGAGCGAACAGG